UUAAGCGACUAAGCGUACACGGUGGAUGCCCUGGCAGUCAGAGGCGAUGAAGGGCGUGCUAAUCUGCGAUAAGCGCCGGUAAGGUGAUAUGAACCGUUAUAACCGGCGAUACCCGAAUGGGGAAACCCAGUGUGACUCGUCACACUAUCAUUAACUGAAUCCAUAGGUUAAUGAGGCGAACCGGGGGAACUGAAACAUCUAAGUACCCCGAGGAAAAGAAAUCAACCGAGAUUCCCCCAGUAGCGGCGAGCGAACGGGGAGGAGCCCAGAGCCUGAAUCAGCAUGUGUGUUAGUGGAAGCGUCUGGAAAGGCGCGCGAUACAGGGUGACAGCCCCGUACACAAAAGCGCAUGUGCUGUGAGCUCGAUGAGUAGGGCGGGACACGUGGUAUCCUGUCUGAAUAUGGGGGGACCAUCCUCCAAGGCUAAAUACUCCUGACUGACCGAUAGUGAACCAGUACCGUGAGGGAAAGGCGAAAAGAACCCCGGCGAGGGGAGUGAAAAAGAACCUGAAACCGUGUACGUACAAGCAGUGGGAGCACCCUUUGGGGUGUGACUGCGUACCUUUUGUAUAAUGGGUCAGCGACUUAUAUUCUGUAGCAAGGUUAACCGUAUAGGGGAGCCGUAGGGAAACCGAGUCUUAACCGGGCGUUAAGUUGCAGGGUAUAGACCCGAAACCCGGUGAUCUAGCCAUGGGCAGGUUGAAGGUUGGGUAACACUAACUGGAGGACCGAACCGACUAUGUUGAAAAAUUAGCGGAUGACCUGUGGCUGGGGGUGAAAGGCCAAUCAAACCGGGAGAUAGCUGGUUCUCCCCGAAAGCUAUUUAGGUAGCGCCUCGUGAAUUCAUCUCCGGGGGUAGAGCACUGUUUCGGCUAGGGGGCCAUCCCGGCUUACCAACCCGAUGCAAACUGCGAAUACCGGAGAAUGUUAUCACGGGAGACACACGGCGGGUGCUAACGUCCGUCGUGAAGAGGGAAACAACCCAGACCGCCAGCUAAGGUCCCAAAGUCAUGGUUAAGUGGGAAACGAUGUGGGAAGGCCCAGACAGCCAGGAUGUUGGCUUAGAAGCAGCCAUCAUUUAAAGAAAGCGUAAUAGCUCACUGGUCGAGUCGGCCUGCGCGGAAGAUGUAACGGGGCUAAACCAUGCACCGAAGCUGCGGCAGCGACGCUUAUGCGUUGUUGGGUAGGGGAGCGUUCUGUAAGCCUGUGAAGGUGGCCUGUGAGGGUUGCUGGAGGUAUCAGAAGUGCGAAUGCUGACAUAAGUAACGAUAAAGCGGGUGAAAAGCCCGCUCGCCGGAAGACCAAGGGUUCCUGUCCAACGUUAAUCGGGGCAGGGUGAGUCGACCCCUAAGGCGAGGCCGAAAGGCGUAGUCGAUGGGAAACAGGUUAAUAUUCCUGUACUUGGUGUUACUGCGAAGGGGGGACGGAGAAGGCUAUGUUGGCCGGGCGACGGUUGUCCCGGUUUAAGCGUGUAGGUGUGUGUUCCAGGUAAAUCCGGUUCACUUUAACACUGAGGCGUGACGACGAGGCACUACGGUGCUGAAGCAACAAAUGCCCUGCUUCCAGGAAAAGCCUCUAAGCAUCAGGUAACAUCAAAUCGUACCCCAAACCGACACAGGUGGUCAGGUAGAGAAUACCAAGGCGCUUGAGAGAACUCGGGUGAAGGAACUAGGCAAAAUGGUGCCGUAACUUCGGGAGAAGGCACGCUGACACGUAGGUGAAGUGAUUUACUCAUGGAGCUGAAGUCAGUCGAAGAUACCAGCUGGCUGCAACUGUUUAUUAAAAACACAGCACUGUGCAAACACGAAAGUGGACGUAUACGGUGUGACGCCUGCCCGGUGCCGGAAGGUUAAUUGAUGGGGUCAGCGCAAGCGAAGCUCCUGAUCGAAGCCCCGGUAAACGGCGGCCGUAACUAUAACGGUCCUAAGGUAGCGAAAUUCCUUGUCGGGUAAGUUCCGACCUGCACGAAUGGCGUAAUGAUGGCCAGGCUGUCUCCACCCGAGACUCAGUGAAAUUGAACUCGCUGUGAAGAUGCAGUGUACCCGCGGCAAGACGGAAAGACCCCGUGAACCUUUACUAUAGCUUGACACUGAACAUUGAGCUUGAUGUGUAGGAUAGGUGGGAGGCUUUGAAGUGUGGACGCCAGUCUGCAUGGAGCCGACCUUGAAAUACCACCCUUUAAUGUUUGAUGUUCUAACGUGGACCCGUGAUCCGGGUUGCGGACAGUGUCUGGUGGGUAGUUUGACUGGGGCGGUCUCCUCCUAAAGAGUAAACGGAGGAGCACGAAGGUUGGCUAAUCCUGGUCGGACAUCAGGAGGUUAGUGCAAUGGCAUAAGCCAGCUUGACUGCGAGCGUGACGGCGCGAGCAGGUGCGAAAGCAGGUCAUAGUGAUCCGGUGGUUCUGAAUGGAAGGGCCAUCGCUCAACGGAUAAAAGGUACUCCGGGGAUAACAGGCUGAUACCGCCCAAGAGUUCAUAUCGACGGCGGUGUUUGGCACCUCGAUGUCGGCUCAUCACAUCCUGGGGCUGAAGUAGGUCCCAAGGGUAUGGCUGUUCGCCAUUUAAAGUGGUACGCGAGCUGGGUUUAGAACGUCGUGAGACAGUUCGGUCCCUAUCUGCCGUGGGCGCUGGAGAACUGAGGGGGGCUGCUCCUAGUACGAGAGGACCGGAGUGGACGCAUCACUGGUGUUCGGGUUGUCAUGCCAAUGGCACUGCCCGGUAGCUAAAUGCGGAAGAGAUAAGUGCUGAAAGCAUCUAAGCACGAAACUUGCCCGAGAUGAGUUCUCCCUGAGACUUAGAGUCUCCUGAAGGAACGUUGAAGACGACGACGUUGAUAGGCCGGGUGUGUAAGCGCAGCGAUGCGUUGAGCUAACCGGUACUAAUGAACCGUGAGGCUUAACCUU
rnacentral:rRNA from 1 species